ACGGCGCCAUUUCUCUCCGUGGCACAGGGCUUGGACUAUCCGACAGCCAACCUCUCAACACAGUGGGUCAACAGCGACGCCUCCCUCCUACACAAUGUUCGCUAUGUCGGAGGUUUUGUCUUGCGCCCCAUUCUCCUCUGUUCGCAAAGUACCUCCUUUGCCACAGGGUUCUUCUGUGCCCCACCUUGCGACAUGUUCUACUUUGGCGUGUUCAUUGUCCAAACUGACGCUAGCAACAAUAUCGUUGAAGGGAAUCCACAGGUGGUCUGGUCUGCCAACCGGGCUCAUCCUCUUAGGGAGAAUGCCACCGUUGAGCUAACUUUAGAUGGAGAAUUGGUCCUUUGUGAUGCUGAUGGUAGCCUGGUCUGGUCGACCGGUAGCUCAGGGAGGAUGGUAGCUGGCAUGGUGAUCACCAACAUCGGCAAUCUGGUGCUAUUUGAUCUGAUGAAGGCAACUAUAUGGCAGUCAUUUGAUCAUCCUACCGAUGCAUUGGUCCCUGGACAGUCACUUGUAGAUGGCAUGAGGCUCACAGCAAGUACCUCUGAUACAAAUUGGACUGAGACUCAACUGUAUGUCACUGUACACCCCGAUGGUUUAUAUGCUUGCAUUGCAUCCGCACCACCACAGCUGUACUAUGCGAUGAGAUCAAACGAAGAAAAGACAGGAAAUUAUACAACAAAGGUUACAUUCAUGAAUGGCAGCCUCAGCAUCUUUCUCGAACCAAAAAAUCCAGAUUCGAAUAGCAUCUCAUUGCCAACACCCAACACCGGCCAGCACAUGAGACUAAUGUCUGAUGGCCACCUGAGGAUGUAUGAAUGGCAUAUUGCAGAAGACAUGUGGCAUGAUGUGUAUGAUGUAAUGCAGCCAGACAAUGGUGAGUGUGCUUUCCCAACCCGACCCCAUUGUGAAUGUAACCAACCAAGAUGAUUGUAAACAAGCCUGCUUGAAAAACUGCUCCUGCAGGGCCGUCAGCUUCAGACACUUGGAGAAGGUGGAUUUGGAUCUGUUUAUGAAGGGAAAUUAGGUGAAGAGAGAGUUGCCGUGAAACGUUUGGAAGGUGCUAGACAAGGAAUGAAAGAAUUCUUGGCAGAGGUGGAGACUAUUGGAAGCAUCGAACACAUCAAUCUUGUCAGGCUGAUUGGUUUUUGUGCAGAGAAAUCUCAGAGGCUUCUAGUAUACGAAUAUAUGCCUAGAGGGUCACUUGAUAGGUGGAUUCAUUACCGCCACAACAACGCACCACUCGAUUGGUGCACGCGGUGUAGAAUCAUUCUGGAUAUUGCCAAAGGCAUGUGCUAUCUUCAUGAGGGGUGCAGGAGAAAGAUAGCUCAUUUGGACAUCAAACCACAAAAUAUUCUCCUAGAUGAGAACUUCAAUGCUAAAGUGGCUGAUUUUGGACUAUCUAAGCUAAUAGACAGGGAUCAAAGCAAGGUAAUGACGAUGAUGAGAGGCACGCCUGGGUAUAUGGCACCUGAAUGGUUAACCUCACAAAUUACUGAAAAGGUUGAUGUCUACAGCUUUGGUGUAGUUGUCAUGGAGCUAAUAAGUGGGAGAAAAAAUAUUGAUAAUUCUUUGCCUGAGGAGAGUUCUCACCUCAUCAAUUUGUUCAGAGGAAAGGCUCGAGAUAAUCAAUUGAGUGAUCUGAUUGACAAACAUAGUCAAGACAUGCUCUCACACCAGGAGCAAGUGAUUGAAAUGAUGAAGCUUGGAAUGUGGUGCCUGCUAAAUGAUGGUGGUCAAAGGCCUUCCAUGUCAACGGUGAUAAAGGUAUUAGAGGGUGGGAUGAGCAUAGAAACCACUAUUCUUCACAGAUUUCUCAAUACAAAUACAGUCUUGCCCCUGGAAGAUAAUCCGACCGCAUAUUCAGUUCAACCUCAAGCAUCAGUUUUAUCUGGACCAAGGUGA
rnacentral:rRNA from 1 species